rnacentral:lncRNA from 1 species
CUACUGUGUGCACAAAUUCUCUGUAAUCUAUCAUGUUUGAGAAUAUUGGAUAUUAUGGUUAAUAAGCUCUUGCGACUUACAAGCUUUAUGCAGCAUAUGUGUACCUAUAUUCUAAACAGAUUUGUGAAGUAGGCAAAAUUUACCUUCGACUGUGGUAGAUCCACAGUCAAAGGAGUAGAUCCUCUGACUACUACUUCUAAGGAGUAGAUCCACCCUCCGUGAGAUCUUUCGUUGUUCACAAAGAACUUGUUCUUUUCUCUGUUGCUCUAAUAGGCCGUCAAAACCUGGUCUUAAGGAAAGAACUGACUGUUAAAAUAGCAUUACAUCCUUCAUACAUUUAACUUAUGUAAAUGUAACUAUUCUUACUCAUCAAAAGAGUUUUCAGUGUGAGGCAGAAUGUAUUUU